UUACCUACGGGACGCAGCAGUGGGGAAUAUUGCACAAUGGGCGCAAGCCUGAACCAGCCAAGUCGCGUGAGGGAGGACGGCCCUACGGGUUGUAAACCUCUUUUGCCGGGGAGCAACGGGCGUCACGUGUGGCGCCACUGAGAGUACCCGGAGAAAAAGCAUCGGCUAACUCCGUGCCAGCAGCCGCGGUAAUACGUAGGAUGCGAGCGUUAUCCGGAUUUAUUGGGUUUAAAGGGUGCGUAGGCGGAUCGUUAAGUCAGUGGUCAAAUUGAGGGGCUCAACCCCUUCCCGCCAUUGAAACUGGG
rnacentral:rRNA from 1 species